UACGCAUUCAGUCCUCCAUUUCUCUAGAAAAAAAAUCCUUUUCUCCAUUUCUCUCUACUCAUACCACAAAAUUUCUUCAAAUCUUCCAAUUCCCUAUGCUCGUUCCAUAAAAUUUGAGCCAUAUUUUGGAGACCCAAAAACUCUAACUAGAAAUUGUGACUCCAUCAGGAAUCUGAGUUAUCUAAAGUUGAAGGGGGAAGGGAGAGAGUUCAAAGCCUAAAUAUUCACUGUAAGGUUAACCCAUUUGAAGGUUUGAAGCUUGAAAUCACUUUGAGGGAAAUGAAAGGAAUUGGACGAGGUAAAAGUGUGAGAGGUGGGACGAGCCGUGGACAUGGCAAUUUUCGAGGAUGUGGAAGUUCAGGAACGAUGUCUCAACCACAAAUACAACUAAUAGAGACUAACGAGGCAUAUUUGGAGACAGGACAAUAAAGUAACCCAACUUAAGGACCUAUACAGACCAGACAAACAUCAAGUAGCCCUCUCCAGAGACACAAUCAUCAAGGAAUCUAGAAGAAAGUGUACUUCCCUCUCCAUAGGCUUCAAAUGGUGCAGUUUCUCGCAUCAAUAAAAACAAAGGAAGAGGGAAAUAUAAAUCUAAAAUAGUAGAUAUAAAAACUAGGUAUGGAGGCAAAAUCACAAUAAUGAUUCCAGAUGACAUUGAUAGAGCUGUGGGUCCUGGGGCUAGAGAUAUUGUCAAUUACUCUGGUUUGACCAUGAGGAGCAUUAUCUCGUUCUGAGAGGGGAAGUGGCAAAAGAUUGUUUUGAAAUACGGAGAAGCAAUGUGGUUGAGGGUCAAGUUUGUGGCGGACUGCGAGAGCAUAAGUUGCAAGGCUUUGUGAUAAGUAAUAUGCAAAGGCUUUUUAGAGCAUGGAAAGCUUGAAUGCACACUGACUACCUCCGUUAUGCUACUGAUGAAGAGAGAUUGUCUCAUUGACCUGAGGAUGUUUAGUUGGAGGACUAGAAAUACCUAGUAAAGUAUUUUGGAAGUGAAGAAUUCAAGGUAACUUAAUAACCAGUUUUUUUUAAGUUAGGAAAUACCAAGUGCGUUUACUCUUGAAUAAAGAUAUCCUGAACUCUUGGCUUAGUGCAGAUUGUCAGUGAAAGAAACAAAAGAAAUAGGGAAAAGCAAAUAACUAAGCAUGCUUGUGGUACAAAGUCUUUUGCAGAAGUAGAGGAAUCUAUGAUAAGAAUACAGUUGUUCUCCUAUUAUUACAUAGACUGUUUUGUUAUUUAUAUUUAUCUGCUUAUACAUUUUCCGAUUGAACUAUAUUGAAGAGAGAUCCUGUUUCUAGAGAAAAGGACACACCAGAUAAAGUGUGGGAGAUCCAACAUACACGUAAGAAUGAUAACGGAGAACGGGUGUGGUUGGAUUCAAAAUCCCAACAAAUUCAUGACUAGCUUCAUCAACUUGUUGUUGAACAACAAUCUGAAGAGGUCGAGAAUCCCAUGACUAGAGAAGAGAUGUAUUCAUCCAUUCUUGGUGAGAGACCAGGCUAUGUGCGUGGUUUUGGAUAUGGAAAGAAGCCUCCUAGAAAGACUCAAAUGCAGUAAGAGAACACAGAGGCCAGCGUAUCUUUUGCAAUGGAAAUUAUGCGGCAAGAGAUGCAAGCCGAUAUGGACCGAAAGUUGCAAGAAGAACUUAACCGGAAGUUGCAAGAAGAACAUGAACAAAUGGCUAUCGACUUAAAAAGGGAUAUGGAACAAGAUUUGCAAAACAAAUUGAAAGAGGAACGUGCACACAUGAAAGGAGAAUUUGACAAGAUGUUCCAAGAACAAAUAGCUGCUUUCAUGACUAGAAUACAACAGUGACGAGGUUCUUAAACAAUGGAGCAAACCAAAGAAAAGUUUAAAGGCGUGCAAUACAAGUUUUUGGUCAUAUAUAAUAUGCAUAAAAUGGAAGUUUUUGAUCAUAUGUAAUAUGCAUACAAUGGAAGUGUUUGAUGAUAUGUAAUAUAUAUACGUUGGAAGUUUUUGCUUUUUUGGGUCAUAUGUAUAUGCAUAUAAUGAACCGAAGUACUAUGUCCAUAGUAUAUCUGUAGUUGACUUUUAAGUAAUGAAAGUAUUUAUGAUAUUCGGCUCGGAAAUGCUUUUGUAAUUUGUUAUGCUACUGG